rnacentral:rRNA from 1 species
GAUGAACGCUAGCUACAGGCUUAACACAUGCAAGUCGAGGGGAAACGACAUCGAAAGCUUGCUUUUGAUGGGCGUCGACCGGCGCACGGGUGAGUAACGCGUAUCCAACCUGCCCACCACUUGGGGAUAACCUUGCGAAAGUAAGACUAAUACCCAAUGAUAUCCCACGAAGACAUCUGAAUGGGAUUAAAGAUUUAUCGGUGAUGGAUGGGGAUGCGUCUGAUUAGCUUGUUGGCGGGGUAACGGCCCACCAAGGCAACGAUCAGUAGGGGUUCUGAGAGGAAGGCCCCAAAAGUGGAAACAGAAAGAGGGACAAAACACAAAGGGGAGGAGGAAGUGAGGAAUAGUGGAAAAGGGGCGAGGGACUGAACCAGAAAAGUAGGGGGAAGGAAGAGGGCCCUAGGGUUUUAAAACUUUUUUAAAAAGGAAAAAAAGGGGGGAAGGUGUGAUUUUUGGAAUUUACCUAAUAAAUAAGAACGGGCAAAUUCCGUG